rnacentral:rRNA from 1 species
UGGACAAUGGGGGCAACCCUGAUCCAGCAAUGCCGCGUGUGGGAUGAAGGCCUUCGGGUUGUAAACCACUUUUGGCGGGGGCGAAAUAUCGAGUGCUAAUACCAUUCGGUGAUGACGGUACCCGCAGAAUAAGCACCGGCUAACUACGUGCCAGCAGCCGCGGUAAUACGUAGGGUGCAAGCGUUAAUCGGAAUUACUGGGCGUAAAGCGUGCGCAGGCGGUUAAGUAAGACAGAUGUGAAAUUCCCGGGCUCAACCUGGGAACUGCAUUUGUAACUGCUUGACUAGAGUGCGGCAGAGGGGAGUGGAAUUCCGCGUGUAGCAGUGAAAUGCGUAGAUAUGCGGAGGAACACCCAUGGCCAAGGCCACUCCCUGGGCCAGCACUGACGCUCAUGCACCAAAGCCUGGGGAGCAAACAGGAUUAGAUACCCUGGUAGUCCACGCCCUAAACGAUGUCGACUAGUUGUUGGACGGGUUACU